UUAAAUUUAUAUGCAUUGCAUAUUUAUUUAAUUUAGCAAUCAAAGCAUUUUCACGAGCUUUUAUUUAAGCAAACACUGAAGAAUUAUUACAGUUUUCAUAGUACAACCUGGAAGACUUUUUAUUUUAUUUUAUCUUAUUUUAUUUUAUUUUUUUUUCCUACACCUACUCCCACCACUAACUCCUCUACUGCAGCACAUCACCAACUUUCCUACUGCAAUACACCCACUACACCUACUCCUUUACAGGCAAUCAAAUCAUUACAUAUCUUAGCAAAUCUUAUCCCAAAUUUUAGCAGAUCUUAUGCAGGAUCUUUACAGCUCCUUGCAGGAUCUUUACAGCUCCCCAAGACUCCUCUGUUGUUUCAAAGAUAUACAACAGCCAAGCUCUCUCUCACUUAUUCCACCAAAAUAUUUUCGUAAGGCCCCUUCACCAAAUUUCUCAACCUGCAGCAAGCUUCUUUCUACAGCAAUAAGAAUCUAAGUUCUUUUCCUCUUGAUUGUGCAGUAACAACUCCCUAGCAAAGCAAAGAGCUUCAAAGGCUUUGUGGACCAAGGGGAUUAGCACUGUUUUCCCAAGACAGGUUAUGUGAUUAUGAUCUUCAGGCUUUGCCUAUCCAGCUCCUUGCAGGAUCUUUACAGCUCCCCAAGACUCCUCUGUUGUUUCAAAGAUAUACAACAGCCAAGCUCUCUCUCACUUAUUCCACCAAAAUAUUUUCGUAAGGCCCCUUCACCAAAUUUCUCAACCUGCAGCAAGCUUCUUUCUACAGCAAUAAGAAUCUAAGUUCUUUUCCUCUUGAUUGUGCAGUAACAACUCCCUAGCAAAGCAAAGAGCUUCAAAGGCUUUGUGGACCAAGGGGAUUAGCACUGUUUUCCCAAGACAGGUUAUGUGAUUAUGAUCUUCAGGCUUUGCCUAUCCAGGUUGAGCAGUUGAUGGAAUGGAAUGAUGUUGAGCGGGUGUUCCUUUGACAUUUCAAGAAAUGUAACCUUGAGUAUACAUCUUCAUAUGUAUAUCUCACACGUUUUCCGCUGCAAAACACUUUGAUUAGGAUAACUCUAUGUUAUGAAGUUGUGACACGUGUUAUUGGGUAACCCACCUUAAUCAGUUCUCCUUUAUGUGUAUGUGUUAUAAGUAUCCAAAUGAUCAUAUAUGAUCCUAGCUUUUUAUUUAU